UCCUCAUUAGUAUAGUGGUGAGUAUCCUUGCUUGUCAUGCAGGAGAUCGGGGUUCCAUUCUCUGACAGGGAG
rnacentral:tRNA from 1 species